CAUUUUGAACAGCAGGGUUCCUAAUUGAAAGGCGGCUUCGGCUGUCAAUUAUGGAGGGACCCCCGUCGCAAUAGCUAGUUGGUGAGGGAACCGCUGACCACGGCAACGAUGCGUACCCGACCUGAGAGGGUGAUCGGCCACACUGGGACUGAGACACGGCCCAGACUCCUACGGGAGGCAUCAGUUGGGAAUCUUCCGCAAUGGACGAAUGUCUGACGGAGCAACGCCGCGUGAGUGAUGAAUGCUUUCGGGUCGUAAAACUCUGUUGUAACGGAAGAACAAGUGCUAGUUGAAUAAGCUGGCACCUUGACGGAACCUGACCAGAAAGCCACGUCUAUCUACGUGCCAGCAGCCGCGGUAAUACGUAGGUGGCAGUCGUUAUCCGGAAUUAUUGGGCCUAAAGCUCGCGCAAGUGGUUUCUUAAUUCUGAUGUGAAAGCCCACGGGUUCGACCGUGUAGGGUUGAUGUAAACUGGUGUCAUUAACUGCGAAUUUGUGAAAGUGCAAUUACAUGUGUAGCGGUGAAAUGCACACCGAUGUGGAAGGACACCAUCUGGCGAAGGACACUCUCUGGUCCGCAAAUGACACUGAGCACGAAAACUUGAUGGACCAAAUAUCCUUACAUCCCCGAUAAUCCUAACGGUAAACGAUUAUCGCUCGUUUGUUGAAGGUUUCCGCCCCUUUA
rnacentral:rRNA from 1 species